AGUACCUUGGAACAGCCACACGUUUGGACGACACCGGCAGCACCUUUGAACGAAGAGGAACCCUAGUUGAAGCUAAAUUUCUGCUUGAGCAUGAAAGGUGGAAGAAAGAACUUGCAGAGAGCAUCAGAGCAACAUAUCGCAAGCCUCGAAGAUGGUCAUAGUAUUAUGCAGGUUGUCUCAAUUCGUGGUUCCAAUCUAAUCGAGGUA
rnacentral:misc_RNA from 1 species